rnacentral:rRNA from 1 species
GUAGGUGGCAAGCGUUGUCCGGAAUUAUUGGGGCGUAAAGCGCGCGCAGGCGGUUCUUUAAGUCUGAUGUGAAAGCCCACGGGCUCAACCGUGGAGGGUCAUUGGAAACUGGAGAACUUGAGUACAGAAGAGGAAAGCGGAAUUCCACGUGUAGCGGUGAAAUGCGUAGAGAUGUGGAGGAACACCAGUGGCGAAGGCGGCUUUCUGGUCUGUAACUGACGCUGAGGCGCGAAAGCGUGGGGAGCAAACAGGAUUAGAUACCAUGGUAGUCCACGCCGUAAACGAUGAGUGCUAAGUGUUAGGGGGUUUCCGCCCCUUAGUGCUGCAGCUAACGCAUUAAGCACUCCGCCUGGGGAGUACGGCCGCAAAGGCUG